ACUCUUUUUUUCUCCCAGAACCUCUUGAUUCUCUGAAUCUCAAAGUCUCCCAAUCUCCCGCACCUUGAUCCAUGCAGAUCUCCAAUUUCUGGUAUUGUUUUUUUUUUUUUUUGUCUUCGUUGAAUUUUCAACCUAGGGUUUUGAUUUUGUCUGUUCCAGUUAUUGCUUCGAUCUCCUUGAUCUCAGUUCUGAAUUCACCCAGGGUUUGAUCGUUUGAUUGUUGGAUUGUUUGGUUGAUCUCAUGGAGGCGAUCGACGAGCUCGUGCAGCUGUCAGGGUCUAUGUGCU
rnacentral:lncRNA from 1 species